rnacentral:tmRNA from 1 species
GGGGAUGUUCUGGUUUUGACAGCAGACGACAUUGGAAAGUAAGCACGUGGAGCUUCGUGUCCCGGCUCCCUAAUAUCAGGACUCAAGCCAUAACUGGCAAUAACAAUUACGCACUCGCUGCCUGAUCUUCCCUGGGAAUGAUCGCUUAAUCGCUCCGGGCCAGGCCCGGGGUGACGAGUAUCCCGCAGGAAUUUCCGCCCUCCGGAUUUUUGCAUAAGGGGUAUCGUUUACGAAGGGCUGGUUGUAAAGAAUCUCCGGCUUUACAAUAAGAUUUCAGGAGAUACGGGGUAUAUGGCCCGCCUGCAGGCAGUAUCCUCCCGACAAACAAAUGAAGGCUAAACGUGUAGAAAGCUUUUGGAUGCUCUGUUUGGACGGCGGUUCGAAUCCGCCCAUCUCCAC